rnacentral:rRNA from 1 species
GACGAACCGUGCAAACGUUAUUCGGAAUCACUGGGCAUAAAGGGCGCGUAGGCGGCUCCAAAAGUCAGGGGUGAAAUCCGGCAGCUUAACUGUCGCAGUGCCUUUGAUACUGUGGAGCUAGAGGGAGGUAGGGGUCUGUGGAACUUCCGGUGGAGCGGUGAAAUGCGUUGAUAUCGAUAGGAACUCCGGUGGCGAAGGCGGCAUACUGGACCACUUCUGACGCUGAGGCGCGAAAGCGUGGGGAGCAAGACGG